rnacentral:rRNA from 1 species
GGAGGUUUGCAAGCGUUGUUCGGAAUUACUGGGCGUAAAGGGAGCGCAGGCGGCCAGGUCAGUCUAAAGUGGAAUCCCGGGGCUCAACCCCGGAAGGGCUUUGGAUACUGCCUGGCUAGAGUACGUGAGAGGUGAGCGGAAUUCCAGGUGUAGCGGUGAAAUGCGUAGAUAUCUGGAGGAACACCGGUGGCGAAAGCGGCUCACUAGCACGAAACUGACGCUGAGGCUCGAAAGCGUGGGGAGCGAACGGGGGAUUAGAUACCCCGGUAGUCCACGCCGUAAACGUUGUGCACUAGGUGUAGGAGGUGUCGACCCCUUCUGUGCCCGCAGCUAACGCAUUAAGUGCACCGCCUGGGGAGUACGCGCGCAAGCGUG